GAAGUCCCAAAGGAGAGGGAAAAAUAAACAAGCCAGCUGGGAGGAAAGGCCAGGGCAGGAAGCCUCGAGAAGUAAAGAUGGCGGUGGCUGGCCCAGUUUAUCUGCUCCUGACAUUUUAUGAAGUGCUGCGUGGUGGAAUGCAUAGAGCACUUGACUUCAAGUCUGUGAGGGGUCCUCCCAUGGAUGUCCUCCAAGGUCCUUCCUUGUGUGUGCAGGUGAUCCCAGGUCUCCCUGGCUGGGCCAGCAGAGCACCAACUCCAGUCAGGCCUCCCAAGCUGGGUUGGCUUCAGAUCUGGAUCUCUACUACCCUGACAAGCUGCUAAGGACCAGCCCAGGUUAGGUCAGAGAACUAAUCACCAGA